rnacentral:rRNA from 1 species
AGUGGCGAACGGGUGAGUAAUAUAUCGGAACGUACCCAGAAGUGGGGGAUAACGUAGCGAAAGUUACGCUAAUACCGCAUACGAUCUACGGAUGAAAGUGGGGGACCUUCGGGCCUCAUGCUUUUGGAGCGGCCGAUAUCUGAUUAGCUAGUUGGUAGGGUAAAGGCCUACCAAGGCGACGAUCAGUAGCUGGUCUGAGAGGACGACCAGCCACACUGGGACUGAGACACGGCCCAGACUCCUACGGGAGGCAGCAGUGGGGAAUUUUGGACAAUGGGCGCAAGCCUGAUCCAGCAAUGCCGCGUGAGUGAAGAAGGCCUUCGGGUUGUAAAGCUCUUUUGUCAGGGAAGAAACGGCUGAGGUUAAUAUCCUCGGCUAAUGACGGUACCUGAAGAAUAAGCACCGGCUAACUACGUGCCAGCAGCCGCGGUAAUACGUAGGGUGCAAGCGUUAAUCGGAAUUACUGGGCGUAAAGCGUGCGCAGGCGGUUUUGUAAGUCUGACGUGAAAGCCCCGGGCUCAACCUGGGAAUUGCGUUGGAGACUGCAAGGCUUGAAUCUGGCAGAGGGGGGUAGAAUUCCACGUGUAGCAGUGAAAUGCGUAGAGAUGUGGAGGAACACCG